GAUGAACGCUGGCGGCGUGCCUAAUACAUGCAAGUCGAACGCUUCACUUCGGUGAAGAGUGGCGAACGGGUGCGUAAUACAUAAGUAACCUGGCAUCUACAGGGGGAUAACUGAUGGAAACGUCAGCUAAGACCGCAUAGGUGUAGAGAUCGCAUGAACUCUAUAUGAAAAGUGCUACGGGACUGGUAGAUGAUGGACUUAUGGCGCAUUAGCUUGUUGGUAGGGUAACGGCCUACCAAGGCGACGAUGCGUAGCCGACCUGAGAGGGUGACCGGCCACACUGGGACUGAGACACGGCCCAGACUCCUACGGGAGGCAGCAGUAGGGAAUUUUCGGCAAAGGGGGGAACCCUGACCGAGCAACGCCGCGUGAAGGAAGAAGUAAUUCGUUAUGUAAACUUCUGUCAUAGAGGAAGAACGGUGGAUAUAGGGAAUGAUAUCCAAGUGACGGUACUCUAUAAGAAAGCCACGGCUAACUACGUG
rnacentral:rRNA from 1 species